GCGCAUGGGCAGCAGGUGCACGAGUUGCCAAUCCCCGGCUCGGCCGAGCCAGUGCCGGGCCGUAGCAGGCAGCAGCCCGGGCCGGGGGUCGAGGUGGCCGGGCAGGAGAAGCCAGGGGUGUGGGGCUCUCACUCCUCCCCCGACCCUGAGCCAGGAGCCCCCCGGGGGCUGGCGGUCAGCUCACGGCUGCUGGGUCAGGCCCCGGCCCGCCUGGAAGUGCCUCAGCCCCAGCUGCUGUGACUCCGGCCCUGCCCGCUGUCGCGCCGCCCCGUCAGUCGGAGGGCGAAGCGCGGCUCUGUCUGGGGUUACGGGAAGCGUAACCGGCGGGGAGGGUUUAAGAGCCUGACCCUUGCGGUAUCACACAGUGCGGCUAACAAAAGUAGGUCGGGGGAGAUAUUUAUCCUGCAGAUGGAGAUCGUUUUGCCCUAGGAGCAAGAUUACCUUGUAUUCAUCAUCGAUCAGAAGUAACACUUUGGCAUAAUCUUGAUCCAUGAUGGGCAGAAGCAAAGACUGAAGAACUGGACGCUUCAGAACAGGGGGAGCCACCUGACUCCACUUCCCAAAGAUGGGGUUAAAGACAUAGAGAGAGCUCAUUUUGGUCUCCUGAAACAGACAACAGGAUGGGAAACUAGUUAGGGCAAACACAGAGAAGGGUGGUUGUUCUUCUAGCUUAUGAAGUUGCCUGCUGGCUUGGUUUAUAUUUGGAUGUAACUCUCUACGCCCCCUUUCUCCCUUCACUGAGCUCCUUACCCUACAGAUGAACAUACUGUGCGCUCAAAUCACCUCGUCUCUGCUGAUCCCACAGCGUUCACGUAUGAUACAUACAAUUCGAACGAGACCCUACUGUGGCCUGCCCAGAAUGUCACCGAAAUAAGCAAGAGUGUUUCUAUUUUCUGUGGAGUAUAUACUGUCGUGUGACCAGCAGAGGGAAAACCUUAUUUAACUAGCAUACACGGUUUGCUGACUUUCUGCUUCAUGUAGUGGACAAAGCAAUUGAAUGAAAUUAUUUAUUUUUUUUGUCGUCGUUUAAAGCAUUUACAAAACACAAAUCUGAUAUUUUUAACACUGUGGAUUUUUCACUAUGGGGAGGUAAAACCCACCCGAGGAGGGGGGAGUGGGCGUGUGUGUGCGCGCGUAUAAAGGACUCACCUUGUCCUUAACAAGCAGCGUACAUUGUGGGGGGUGGGGGAAGUGGGCCGUUGUUCUCUGGACCAUCAGUUUAAAGGAGGAGCCUGGCCUCAUAUUCUGUAGGUAUUGCUUCCACAGGAUGGUGCCGGAGCUGCUUUCAAUACCAAACAGCUGAAGCAAAGAGACAAAAAAAAAAAAACCAACGUAUGUAACAGCGUGUCUUUCACAUCUAGAUGUUCCAUUCUGCUUUGGGUUCCCUCCUCUACUACAAGACAGCUGGUCUCCUGACACCUUUCCCACCACAAAUCCCCCCUCACCAUUGCCAGGAUAGUAUGCUCCAUUGCCAGGAAUGGCUUCCAGUCCCUGCCCUCCUCACCUUUCCUGCAGCAGUGACCAUCACCAUCAUUUUCUGCAGGUUGAACUCAUCUCUCGCCAAGUUGUCAAUAUUGAUCUCAUUCUUAAUCUGGCUCCGCGGCUUCCUGGCAUCAUAGAACAUCUUCCAGAGAUGUGCAGUCCAGGCCUGUAGCAGGAUGAGCUGGGAGGAGAGGCGCUUCAGAAACAUUCCCAGCAAGCCGUCUGCAAGCAAGUCAGUGACAACAGUUAGCACAACAAGCAAUGGUCCACAGCAGGGGAAACAUAUACACAGCCCAGCAAAUAAGACUAGUGCCUCAGUCUAUAAAACUCAUGUGCUGCCAUACUCGUAUAUAUUAAUUAAGAAAAUUCUGCCUCACCUUCCACGACACCUGGAUCAUAUUAUAUCCCAUUACCAUCAUAGAAGCUCCUUUGCCUACCAAGCCCCUAAAUACACACUGCCAUAUCCCACUUCAGCAGGCACUCCACUCGCCUCAGAUCAAGCUUUCCUGCAAGCCGCAACACUACCAUGUGCAGAGUCUCUUCCCUAUCACUCCCGCAAGUACACUUAGUGUACUUGAUCUUACGGCUCCUGCUUUCACUUCUCGCAUAACAGGAGCCAUCUUUAUGGAGAAGCACCCAAAUCUUGGCAACUGAAGUCUGAAUUGGCUUCCAGUUAGGAGCCAUGUCCUAUGCUUAAUCUAUCUCUUCUCUGAGAAAGAAACCAAACAGGGAGGACAAAGAUCCACCAGCAAAGAGAGGAAAGGAACUGCAUGUGAUUCUUUGGGUUACCUUGAAUGGCUGGAUCCGGAUGGCAAGAAAGACAAUAAAGGCAAUUAUAUUUCAGUCUUCAGGGUAAGACAAUACAGGAUAAUCAAACAGAAGCGUUUUGGUAAGAGCGGGCAAGCUGGUUAUUGUAAUUUCCCUAUCACUCUCUCUCUGCUCGACCCAGAGGGAUAUGGAAAAUCUAUUAGUAGAGCUUUUAUGUGUGAUCUCGUUUUAGUUCAAGUUCAACUCUCUCUGGCUCCAAGAUUAAAGAUUAAGUUUAUGGAGGA